CCCCCCCCCCCCUCCUACAUCCCUUUUACCUUUUUGAAUAUUAAUUAUUUGUAUGAAUAAAAUACUGAAGUUCUUGGUAUCAACCACAUUCUUUGGAGCUACAAGUUCCAAAAACUUUUUUUCUGAGUGUCCCAGAAAAUAUUUUUGAAUACUUUUUUUUUACCACUUUUAUGAAAGUAUGACUUGAAUAUUUGAAAAGCUUGAAAUUCUCUAGCUGCAGAAUUAUUGUUUACCCAUUGUAAGAAUUCAUUGCAUUCCUAACUCACAUUGAGCCCAUAGUGCAAUGAGAAAAGAAAACUCAGACUGAGUACAAGUCUUUCUUAAUAUUACUUGUUAAUAUUUUUUUCCCCUUCAAAUAAUUGAUUGCCUAAAGAGUUGUGAUAUUUCUUUAACUUUAUAUAUACAUGUUUUUUUUUUGUUUAUAUUUUUUUAAAGCAUUUCGCUAAUGUAUGUUGAAAGAUAAUGUUUUGCUGUUUCAAGAAGCUUGUCUUUAUGUGUGUUUUAUUUAGUUGACUUGUGCCAUUUACUACUUAUGCAGUGCAAGUUCUGCCGGGUAUUCAUGCACUGCUUGCCAUUUUUGCUAGAUGUCGUGAGAAAUGUUCUCUGCAAGUGGUUAUUGCAAUCCUUAGAAGUUUUCAUUUUAAACAAGCAUUGGUCUUUAAAACAAACACCUGAGGAUUAUCUGAACAAGAUAUUGUUUUCCACAAUGAUUUUGCUUCUUUUUCUAUAGAGCUUUACAUUUUUGAUGAGGUUAUAAUUCUAUUUGAACUUACCAAAAAAAAAAAAAAUAGCCAUGAUGACAUUAUAAAUGUGUUCUUUCUUAUGGUUUUAAUGAAGAUAGUAUUAAUUAUGCCUGAAAUGUUGUUUUUUUGUU